AUUGAAAUACUUAAAAAAAAGCUUCUAACUUUUUAACAAGCAUUAAUUUGUUUAU
rnacentral:tRNA from 2 species